AUUGAACGCUGGCGGCAUGCUUUACACAUGCAAGUCGAACGGCAGCGCGGGCUUCGGCCUGGCGGCGAGUGGCGAACGGGUGAGUAAUACAUCGGAACGUGCCCAGUAGUGGGGGAUAGCUCGGCGAAAGCCGGAUUAAUACCGCAUACGACCUGAGGGUGAAAGCGGGGGAUCUUCGGACCUCGCGCUAUUGGAGCGGCCGAUGGCAGAUUAGCUAGUUGGUGGGGUAAAGGCCUACCAAGGCGACGAUCUGUAGCUGGUCUGAGAGGACGACCAGCCACACUGGGACUGAGACACGGCCCAGACUCCUACGGGAGGCAGCAGUGGGGAAAUUUGGACAAUGGGCGAAAGCCUGAUCCAGCAAUGCCGCGUGUGUGAUGAAGGCCUUCGGGUUGUAAAGCACUUUUGGCGGGAACGAAAAGGACUGUGCCAAUACCACGGUUCGAUGACGGUACCCGCAGAAUAAGCACCGGCUGACUACGUG
rnacentral:rRNA from 1 species